UUUGGUAUAAAUAUCCAACACCUGAAUUUUAAUUAAGACAGUGUUGUAACUUCACAAGGAUUGAUGAAUUACACAUCUGUUAAUCCUACGCUACUGCUUGAUUUGGAUAUACUCUCCUAGUUUUUCCAUGUAAUAAAGGCAGUAGGGUUGACAGAGGGACGGACAAACAGACUCCGGGUUAACGGUAGGUGAUUCUUUAGUAUCUCUCUUCUCUGCAGAGGACACAACAGCACCAAAAAGCAGUCGACAACAUGAAGAGCGUGUGUAAAGUUCUAACCCCGUACAGAAGACGCCAGGGAAUAUAUGUUUUCUUUCUUAUAACAAUUGUCAUUUUCUUCACUCUGUUUUCUAAAGGUAAGUUGUUAAAAAAAAUUACGGUAAAUUUCUAUCUUUUAUAUAAUAAAAUUCUUGGAAGACUUGGAAGACUUGGUCUCCAAAAACCACAUACAUGUAGAUAUUAUCAGUCAGAAACUCGGGAAUCUUUUUAAUAUCAACUUCAGAGUACCUCUGUGUACAACCAGAUUGUUUUUAACAAAGUAAUUUAACAAAUAACCAAUGACAAGGUACUGAGUAUAUAAUUUUCCGAGAUCCAUUUUUAUUGAAAAAGCAGCUGUCAAUUAUGCCAAAAAGCCUGGACUUUAAUUUAUC